rnacentral:ncRNA from 1 species
GCUCUGGAGAGCUGUCUUCACCGCCAUCUGCUAACGCGUGGAAGACGCACCGAAGGGGGUAAAUCUCUCAGGUGAACGGACAGAUGGGCG